rnacentral:rRNA from 1 species
UCAGGAUGAACGCUGGCGGCACGCCUAACACAUGCAAGUCGAACGGAGUUAAGAGAGCUUGCUCUUUAAACUUAGUGGCGGACGGGUGAGUAACACGUGAGCAACCUGCCUUCAGAGAGGGAUAGCUUCUGGAAACGGAUGGUAAUACCUCAUAACAUAUUGAUACGGCAUCGUAUUAAUAUCAAAGAUUUAUCGCUGAAAGAUGGGCUCGCGUCUGAUUAGCUGGUUGGUGAGGUAACGGCCCACCAAGGCAACGAUCAGUAGCCGGACUGAGAGGUUGAACGGCCACAUUGGGACUGAGACACGGCCCAGACUCCUACGGGAGGCAGCAGUGGGGAAUAUUGCACAAUGGGCGCAAGCCUGAUGCAGCGAUGCCGCGUGAGGGAAGAAGGUUUUCGGAUUGUAAACCUCUGUCAUCGGGGACGAAAAUGACGGUACCCGAGAAGGAAGCUCCGGCUAACUACGUGCCAGCCGCGGC